rnacentral:rRNA from 1 species
AUAAAAGAAAGUAAAUAAGGGCGCAUGGCGGAUGCCUUGGCUCUCGGAGGCGAUGAAGGACGUGAUAAGCUGCGAUAAGCUUCGGGUAGGUGCAAAUGACCUUUGAUCCGAAGAUUUCCGAAUGGGACAACCCGGCAUUCUGAAGGAAUGUCAUCCAACCUGGUUGGAGGCUAACGCAGGGAACUGAAACAUCUUAGUACCUGCAGGAAAAGAAAAUAAAUAAUGAUUCCCCUAGUAGUGGCGAGCGAACGGGGAUUAGCCCAAACCACCCAUGUUACGGCAUGUGUGGGGUUGUAGGACCACGCUCUCGCAAGACAGUUAUUGAGAAGAAACGACUGGAAAGUCGUGCCAUAGACGGUGAUAGCCCGGUAUUCUAAGGUAACCGAAGCGUAGUGGUAUCCUGAGUAGCGCGGAGCACGAGGAAUUCUGCGUGAAUCAGCCGGGACCAUCCGGUAAGGCUAAAUACUCCCGAGAGACCGAUAGCGAACCAGUACUGUGAAGGAAAGGUGAAAAGCACUUCGAAUAGAAGAGUGAAAUAGUCCCUGAAACCAUGCGCCUACAAGCGGUCGGAGCAGC